GAGGUCCUUGCAAUGGCCCUUAUGUGCCCCCACAGCCUUGUUAGGAACAGGAGGAGAACCUCGUCCUAACAUGAGCAAAGUCGAAGGCCCGAUUACUUAAAGACUGGAUGGGGGGAGAGGCCCUUGCAACGGCCCUUUUGUGCCCCCACAGCCAUGUUAGGAACAGGAGGAGAACCUCGUCCUAACAUGAGCAAAGUCGAAG
rnacentral:lncRNA from 1 species